AUACGGAGGGAGCAAGCGUUAUUCGGAAUCACUGGGCGUAUAGGACGCGUAGGCGGGUUUGUAAGUCAGGUGUGAAAUCCUACAGCUCAACUGUAGAACUGCACUUGAAACUACAGACCUAGAGUAUGGAAGGGGCAGAUGGAAUUAGUGGUGUAGGGAUAAAAUCCGUAGAUAUCACUAGGAAUACCGAAAGCGAAGGCGAUCUGCUGGGACAUUACUGACGCUGAGGCGUGAAAGCGUGGGGAGCAAACAGAAUUAGAAACCCCAGUAGUCC
rnacentral:rRNA from 1 species